GACGGUAUCUACCCAGAAAGCCACGGCCUACUACGUGCCAGCAGCCGCGGUAUACGUAGGUGGCAGCGUGUCCGGAUUUAUUGGGCGGUAAAGCGAGGCGCAGCCGGUUUCUUAAGUCUGAUGUGGAAAGCCCCGGCUUCACCCGGGGAAGGGUCAUGGAACUUGGGAGACUUGAGUGCAGAAGAGGAGAGUGGAAUUCCAUGUGUAGCGGUGAAAUGCGUAGAUAUAUGGAGGACCACCAGUGGCGAAGGCGGCUCUCUGUUCUGUACCUGACGUUGAGGCUCGAAAGCGUGGGGAGCAACCAGGAUUAGAUACCCUGGUAGUCCACGCCGUAAACGAUGAGUGUUAAGUGUUGGAGGGUUUCCGCCCUUCAGUGCUGCAGCUAACCCAUUAACCAUUCCCCCUGGGGAGUACGACCCCAAGGUUGAAAUUCAAAGGAAUUGACGGGGGCCCGCCCAAGCGGUGGAGCAUGUGGUUUAAUUGGAAGCAACGGGAAGAACCUUACCAGGUCUUGACAUCCUUUGACCACUUUAGAGAUAGAGCUUCCCCUUCGGGGGCAAAGUGCCAGGUGGUGCAUGGUUGUCGUCAGCUCGUGUCGUGAGAUGUUGGGUUAAGUCCCGCAACGAGCGCAACCCUUAUUGUUAGUUGCCAUCAUUCAGUUGGCCAUUCUACCAAGACUGCCGGUGCCAAACCGGAGGAAGGGGGGGAGGAGGUCAAAUCAUCAUGCCCCUUAUGCCCUGGGUUCCCCACGUGUUCCAAUGGGAAGUACAACGAGUUGGGAAGUCGGGAGGUUAAGUUAAUUUCUUAAAGCUUUUUUCAGUUCGGAUUCCAGGCUGCAAUUCGCCUGCAGGAAGCCGGAAUCGUUAGUAAUCGCGGAUCACCACGCCGCGGGGAAUACGUUCCCGGCCCUUGUCCACACCGCCCGUCCCACCACGAGAGUUUGUACCACCGGAAGUCGGGGAGGUAACCUUUUGGAGCCAGCCGCC
rnacentral:rRNA from 1 species